UUUGCUGCUCAAAGAAUACUCCACAAACAUGGAUCAUUGACAUCACUGGAUCCACAAGAGAGCUGGUUAGAGAUGCUGCAUCUCUGGCCAUACCCCACCUGCUGCAUCAGGACUUGCAUUGUAACCAGGUCUCAAAGUGAUUCAGGUGCACAGGAGAGUUGAGACGCCUUGAUCCACCCUAAUUCCUUCAUUUUUCUCAACAGUAAGCCAAUGCUCAAAAAAAAAAAAAAAAUGAAAUUAGCUUGCCCAAAGUCACUAGUUGAAUUUGUACUUAGGAGAAUUAGCACCAUACUACAUAAAUUAAGCUUUCCAUUCUGAAUAAAACUUUCUUUUAUUCAGGCAUCUAAUUCCUUCAUUGAAAUUCUGGGUUGGGCCAAUGCCCAGCCUGGGCCAGCCAUCUCCAUACAACUGCAGGACUUUCUUCACUGGUGAUGAUCUAUGUGUGCUUGGUAAAUUAGGCUCCUGUGCUAUUUAAUGCCUGAAAUGGGGACAGUGGACUUGGAGAGCUGGAAGCUAGCAGCUGGGGAAGAAUGAGGUUUCUGUCUCUAGGACAUGUUAACCACUCAACUUUAACAUGGAACAAGAAGGAAGCUCCGCGGCUUUUGUUUGGAUAGUCUCACAUGCUGCAAGUAUCUCAGGCCUUGUUCUGGGAAAGUAAGUUGCAUCUGUCAUAGUUUCCAAAAAAGUAGCACUAGAAAAACCCCUAGGUUGUUGACUAUAAGCUGGAAAAAAGUGCAAGAAAAUUGUUGCAGUCGUGUAUAAGGCUAACAGCUUUUUUGAAAACGUACAAAGAAACUGGUAACUUGCUGUUCUUCAGCAAAUGUCAUGUCCUUGUUCUUGUGUUUGUUCUGAGGAUUUUCUUCAUAAAAAAAAUGAGUGGUUUGCUAUGACUUCUGACUCACCUGGCUAGGAAUGAAUAAAGCAUCAAACUGUGUUACUUUAAAAAAUAUAUUGCAAAAUAUUUCAGAGAGAAUCAUAAGCGAGACCUGGCUCGUCCCCAUGUGGUUGUGUUGAUAAGUGGUCCCUGUUUCCCCAACUGUUCAUUGCUGCCUAUUUCCAUGCAUCUCUGCAAUAUGAUUUUGCAAAACCUCCUAUCAGGAGUUGAAGUCUACUUCUAUAGCUGUUGGAGAAUUUUAUCUUUUACUGGGUAAAUAUAAAGGCAGUAUUGGAAGGCAUAUUGGAAGGCAUAUUAUGCCAGUUCAAAACACAGGUUCAAAAGGUUUUAUAUACUCCCCUUCUCUUUCAAACAACCUAUGACACAUGAAUGAGCCUACACUAGCCUGCUGGAUAUUGAGAGGCCCCAGGCAUUGGAGGGAAGCCCUGAACCAUUCUCCCUGUCCCAGCUGAAACUAGCACAAGUCAGCCUUCCAGCAGGAUUUCUUGCAAGGAUGCCAAAACACAAGCAUGGGACUCUGAAAAUAUUGACGUAUUCCUUGCCUGUGGAAGUCCUGGGGAAAAUAUGUGCUGUGUACAGAAAGCAAGAGGGAAGAUUAAAGGUACUCUUUGUAAGAUAAGUGGUGAGAGGAAACCUUGACAAGACCUACUGAAGAACAGAGCUUCUCAAACUUGAAGGCACAUAAAAACCUUUGUGAGAGCAAAUUGAAAAAGGUUCCCAGACUCCCCUCCUGAGAUUUUAAUGUGGUGGGGCCCAGGAAUAUGCAUUUCUAACAAGCUAUGCUGAUGUAGGUGUUCUCUAAGCCAUUUCGUGGCAGCUCUUUAGCCUCCAUUUUUUUGGGAACAUUUAGUUUCCAGACACCCUGAGACUCUGCCCUUUUGGCUUUCUACAAAUAAUACAUUGCGCUUAUUUUCCAUCUUUGUUUCCAGCACCAUCCUUCUCUUCCUUGUUUCCUUUUCCUAUGAAACUAUAAGAUGCCCAGGGGUGGGUUUUUCUACCUCUGUCUCUAUGUAUGUGAUAUAUAUGUAAAUAAUUUAUAUGAAUAGCUCUAGACAGAUCCACAGGCUUCUACAUGCCCAUAUAUUGUCACUCUUUCUAUCUCUAUGUGAAAUUAUCUCUCCAACUGUUCUUCCUGCCUUACUUGGAAACUACUUGCCUCUAUUUUUCUACCAAAUUUCACUGACUUUUACAGUCUGCUGACUGACAAAGCGCUCUGUAAUACCUUCCCCUCACAGUUCAGCAAAGGCAGAUAUGUGUUUGUUGAUAACAUCCCAACCCAAAAUGUGCUUCUUGAUUGAAUCUGGAUUUCAGUGAGCCAGCUUUGAAAGUUUUUGAAAGCAAGUGGAGAAAUUUAAAUGUGGACUGAAGUAUAAGAUAACAUUAUUCAAUUAUUUUUGUUGAGUAAGAUACUGAUAAGUUGUAGUUAUAUAGGAAAUGUACUUACUUUUACAAUGCAUGCUGUACUUAAUAGAGUAAGGCAAUAAUAUUAUGAUGUCUGUAAAUUUGUCUAACUUACAAAAAAGAGAUGAAGAAAUUAUGACCAAAUUUUAAAUAGGGUUGGAUCAAGGUGGUGUAUGAGUUUUCCAUAUCUUAUCCUCCAUACUUUUCUGUAUACCUGAAAUUUUCCCAAAUUAAAUAGACAAGAAAAAGAACAGUAUAUUGAAGUAAUUAAUUUUUUCUGGUCCUAAAAUUUUGAAGAAAUAGUAAAACAUUUGUUAAUAAAGAAGUUAUUUAUCAGUGGUUAUGAGAUUAUUGAUUAAUAGGAUUUCUAAAAGUGUUAACUAGCCCAAAUCUAGUAGUUGCUUUAUUUUCUUGGAGGCAGUACAUACCUUUGCUUAGAAUCUAGAUACAUUUCCACACAGCCAACUCGUAGAAUGACAGACAAUCCUCAGAAUCAACCCUUAAGGCUUCCUGGUUUGGCUGAAAAGCCCUUGAGAGCAUUUCAGGCACGGAAAGCCAAGACACUGUGGCAAAAUAUGUUUUUCAUGAAGGAUCUCUGUGAGUGAGACCCCAGUGGAAAGAAGUGGCCAUCAAAGAAGGAUGUACUUUUCUCUAAAGGGAGGAGAGAACGUCCACAUUGCUUAUGGCCUUAUCUAAAAACUGAUGGAGUCCGUGGAUUCAAAAGGAUUCCUUGGGGCCGGCGCCGUGGCUCACUUGGUUAAUCCUCCGCCUUGAGGUGCCAGCAUCCCAUAUGGGCACCGGGUUCUAGUCCCGGUUGCUCCUCUUCCAGUCCAGCUUUCUUCUGUGGCCCGGGAAGGCAGUGGAGGAUGGCCCAAGUGCUUGGGCACCUGCACCCACAUGGAAGACCAGGAAGAAGCACCUGGCUCCUGGCUGCGGGUAGGCACAGCGCCGGCCCUAGUGGCCAUUUAGGGGGUGAACCUCAUGUCAAGAGCCUCAGGUGGUCACUGACUUCAUACAUAAGAGUGUUAAUUGUUAAAUUAACAACAGAAUUCACUGUGUACUUACUCCCCAUACCAUGCAAAACUUCUGUCCUCAAUGAGUUGUAUUAUGAGAGUUAACUAAAACUAGGUCUCACACAGUUUUUUGUGUAUAUGCAUGUGUGUGUAAAUUGUUGAAAUCUUUACUUAGUACAGAGUUGGUCUUCUGUGUACAAAAUUAAUUGAAAAUGAAUCUUAAUGGAGAUUAGGACUGGGAAGAGGAGAGGGGGGAGGGGGAGGGGUGGGAAUGUGGGUAUGGUGGAAAGAAUAACUAUAUUCCUAAAGUUGUAUUUAU